ACUGACCUGUAAGUCAGUUCUAGAAGACAGACGAUCCAUGAAGGCAGGUCCUAGCCUGCCCAUUUGCAUUGGUAUCUCCAAGGCCAAGCUAGAGAAGGCACACAAUAGGCUUUCCACUAAUAUUUGUGAAUGAAUGAAUGAACAGAGAGAGGAGUUUUCUUUCCACAGUUUCCUUCUACCUGCUACUCCUUGAGCAUAUGAGGCUGGAAUCUAAGCCCUGAGGUCACUCACUGCUCUCCUGGGUACUAUCCCUGGCCUCCCGUCCUUUUCCUUGAGCUUCUGUGCUCUGCAAGGCUUUCUCAUUAUCCUUUAGGCUACAGAGAAACAAGGAGACGGGAGAGCCUUGAAAUGGACCUUCAAGAUUACAAUGUGUAGCUGACAUUGUCAGUUAAGUUGGGCAGAUCUGACUUCGCUGAUUAAGUGGAUGUAUGAGCCGAUCCUCCCCAGAAGCUGGGAUCAGCUUCCCCAUCUGAUGAGCCAGUCUUGGUGCUCUGUGUUCACCUGGUUCAUCUGAGGAGCUGCAUCUACCCUGCCCAUGCCAUAGAUCCUGCCCUGUUUGCUUCUCCUGUUGCUGCUAGUGGACAUGAGGUAACCACAGCCUAGUUCUGUGAUAAGCUCUUCACACCUGUACCCAUAUGGACUGUGGGAGAGUUUCUCUGAUAUGGACUGUGAUGCGGAAGGACAGAAUAACGGGCUCCCAGAUUCACAAGCCCCACCAAGAGGAUCACCCCAGGAACGCUUGGAGGCUGAGGAGUUCACUGAGGCUACUGCAUCUUGAGACUCAGGAUGAAGACCCAGCUUGGGGCUGUCAAAGGUUUUUUGCAUGUCUGACACCCAUGACUCCACCUGGACCUUAUGGCUCCACCCAGAAGCAAUUCAGCCCAACAGGAGGACAGCUUCAACCCAUUACGAUUUCAUCUCUGCCCCAACCACUCAGCAGCAAGCACCUGUUACCUGUCCACCCCCACCCCUUCCCCCAAACUGCCUUUGAAAAAUCCCUAACCUAUGAGCUUUGAAUAAGAUGAGUACGAACUUCAUCGCCCACGUGGCGUGGCCGGCCUCGUGUCUAUUAAAUUCUUUUUCUACUACAA
rnacentral:lncRNA from 1 species